rnacentral:tRNA from 1 species
GCCCGGCUAGCUCAGUCGGUAGAGCAUGAGACUCUUAAUCUCAGGGUCGUGGGUUGGAUCCCCACGCUGGGCG